rnacentral:lncRNA from 1 species
AAUAAAAGUUUCUUGAAAUGGGGAUGGCAUCUACUGUAUAACACUUGAAAGAAAAUAUAACACAGAUAAAUCAAAUUUGCCUCAUACUGAUACUAUCCUUAACGAUUUUUAAUAUCAGUAGUGCUCAGUUUUCCUUGGCUUCUGAUAUCAGUAGCGCUUAGUUUUCCUUGGCUUCUCGUUUGAGAAGACCUCAGAUUUAGCCCCCCUCGUCUAAGUACGUUAUGAAGUGCUUUGCUAUGUACAAAUGAAUUAUCUAUGUCGGGUC